UACAGAGGUCCCAAGCGUUGUUCGGAUUCACUGGGCGUAAAGGGUGCGUAGGUGGUGAGGUAAGUCGGAUGUGAAAUCUCCGAGCUCAACUCGGAAAUUGCAUUGGAAACUACCUUGCUUGAGGGUUGGAGGGGGGACUGGAAUGCUUGGUGUAGCAGUGAAAUGCGUAGAUAUCAAGCGGAACACCAGUGGCGAAGGCGAGUCCCUGGACAACACCUGACACUGAGGCACGAAAGCUAGGGGAGCAAGCAGG
rnacentral:rRNA from 1 species